rnacentral:rRNA from 1 species
AUUGAACGCUGGCGGCAGGCCUAACACAUGCAAGUCGAGCGGAGCGGCGGACGGGUGAGUAAUGACUAGGAAUCUGCCUGGUAGUGGGGGAUAACGUCCGGAAACGGGCGCUAAUACCGCAUACUAUCAGAUGAGCCUAGGUCGGAUUAGCUAGUUGGUGGGGUAACGGCUUACCAAGGCGACGAUCCGUAGCUGGUCUGAGAGAAUGAUCAGUCACACGGGAACUGAGAAACGGUCCAGACUCCUACGGGAGGCAGCAGUGGGGAAUAUUGGACAAUGGGCGAAAGCCUGAUCCAGCCAUGCCGCGUGUAGGAAGAAGGCCCUAGGGUUGUAAAGUACUUUCAGUCGGGAGGCGUUACCGACAGAAGAAGCACCGGCUAACUCCGUGCCAGCAGCCGCGGUAAUAC